rnacentral:rRNA from 1 species
UAAUACGUAGGGUGCGAGCGUUAAUCGGAAUUACUGGGCGUAAAGCGUGCGCAGGCGGUUCUGCAAGUCAGAUGUGAAAUCCCCGGGCUUAACCUGGGAACUGCGUUUGAAACUACGGAGCUAGAGUGCGGCAGAGGGGGGUGGAAUUCCACGUGUAGCAGUGAAAUGCGUAGAUAUGUGGAGGAACACCGAUGGCGAAGGCAGCCCCCUGGGCCGACACUGACGCUCAGGCACGAAAGCGUGGGGAGCAAACAGGAUUAGAUACCCUGGUAGUCCACGCCCUAAACUAUGUCAACUAGUUGUCGGGGAAGCAAUUCCUUGGUAACGAAGCUAACGCGUGAAGUUGACCGCCUGGGGAGUACGGUCGCAAGAUUAAAACUCAAAUGAAUUG